UAAGUGUCAAUUAAUUAACAGUAAGGAUUUAUUUAAUGAAUUAAAAUUAUAAAUAUCUUAAUAAUUUUAUUUAUGCGCUCUGAUUUUAACUAUAAGCUGAUAGCAAUCGGUAUCAUGAUAUUAAGAGUAACACUUACGGUACAAGAUCUCUAUAUUAAUCUUGUAUUUGGUUAAUCUGUUGAGCUCACGAAGUGAUACGUCUAUGGUAAUUACACCUUGGUAAAGCGCGACCGGCUAUGCGAAUACGCGUCUCGAGGCAUUUGUGCUUCUGGUGAGCACCAAGGCUUGUGAGCGACUAAUGUUCAAAGGCUGAUUUUCGCUGCGUUUAUAUACUCCAGAACUAGGGGGUCUUAUGGGUACGGGUGUAUGGGAAAGCUCGAAUUCCAGGAAUUUUCCGCGACAAAUAACUUAUUUUUCAAAAUUCUUUAAUUUCUAAUUUUUAGUCAAAUAGCCAUGAUUUUCGGUUCAGAGAUAGCCCCCCCCCCCUGGCUAACGGAGCAAUUACCGAGGGUCCGAAAGGCGUGCUGAUUGCGCCUCGACAGGCGCUUUAGUAAGAAAAGAUAAAAAAUAUUAGACUCGAAAAGAUUUUUAAUUUUGUAUUAUUCGCUUAAUUCGGCGAAUUCAAGCUUCUAACACGCAGAGAAAAUGAAAAAAUAAUUCUUUUAAUUAUAUUCGAAUUAAUACGCAGGAUAAUACGCAUAGAAACGCAUGUUGCGCACGUGACGCUUCCUCGAGCGUGCGCGAGUUCGUGAGAGAGGGGAACGCUCGGCGAAGAGGGCGGCGCGUGAGACGCACGAGAGUGAGACGGAAAGAAAAAAUUUCCGCCGAACGUAACGAAAUCAUUGAGUAAUUCAAAAGUCAGCUUCCUGGUUUUAAAAUGUAUGAGUUUUUAGGCUCAUUUAUUUCAUAACAAAUUUAUUUUUGGAACUUUUUUCAAUGAUUUUUUUUAAAUAGAGCUACAUUGUUUUAAAGAAAAUAUAACAAAAACGACUUUUUCAUUUAAAAUCAGCAAUUCAUAAACAAAGUGUCAUUAAAAACAUUUUUCAGAUAAAAAAUUAAAAUAAAAACUUUAAAAUUUUUAAAUUUAUUUUAGAUUUAAAAAUUUACUUCUCUUAUGCUACACUAAUCUACUACUAAAAAUUAAAAAA